CCACUACUCUCCUCCACCCUAAAAUUAAAAAUUAUAUAUUACCGUACCGCCACACUAAUGGUAUUCCACUACUCUUCUUCAACCCAAACUUAAAAAUGGAUUAUCUCGUUAACGGAUUGACGGAAAUCAAAAAUGUUAACAUUCAAAUUGAUUUUAACUAAUACUCCAUCUAUUUACAAACAAUUUUAUAUAGGGUACCAUUUGAAAAUCAAAAGUAGGUAGUGGUUUUACCCCCAAAAAUAAGGGUGACAAAAAAUAUCACAAACAUAAAAUUGUGGAGUAGCUUGUUUCUUAAAUGUUCUG